AUUGAACGCUGGCGGCAGGCCUAACACAUGCAAGUCGAGCGGAUGAAGGGAGCUUGCUCCUGGAUUCAGCGGCGGACGGGUGAGUAAUGCCUAGGAAUCUGCCUGGUAGUGGGGGAUAACGUCCGGAAACGGGCGCUAAUACCGCAUACGUCCUGAGGGAGAAAGUGGGGGAUCUUCGGACCUCACGCUAUCAGAUGAGCCUAGGUCGGAUUAGCUAGUUGGUGGGGUAAAGGCCUACCAAGGCGACGAUCCGUAACUGGUCUGAGAGGAUGAUCAGUCACACUGGAACUGAGACACGGUCCAGACUCCUACGGGAGGCAGCAGUGGGGAAUAUUGGACAAUGGGCGAAAGCCUGAUCCAGCCAUGCCGCGUGUGUGAAGAAGGUCUUCGGAUUGUAAAGCACUUUAAGUUGGGAGGAAGGGCAGUAAGUUAAUACCUUGCUGUUUUGACGUUACCAACAGAAUAAGCACCGGCUAAUUCCGUG
rnacentral:rRNA from 1 species